rnacentral:rRNA from 1 species
UGGUACGCGAGCUGGGUUCAGAACGUCGUGAGACAGUUCGGUCCCUAUCCGUCGCAGGCGUAGGAAAUUUGAGAAGACCUGUCCUUAGUACGAGAGGACCGGGAUGGACGUACCUCUGGUGUACCAGGUGUUCUGCCAAGGGCAUGGCUGGGUAGCUAUGUACGGAAUGGAUAAGCGCUGAAAGCAUCUAAGCGCGAAGCCAACUUCAAGAUAAGAUUUCCCACCG